AGUGACCGCCACCGUUGCCCGGGGAUGGGUCCUUGAGACUUGGCUAAGCAGGCACCCUGUGUGAGCUUGGUCAGAGUCGGGGCUGAGACCAGUCCUGGCCAGGGCAGUUAACAGGAAGGUCUCCGGAGGCCGGGAUUCGCGGAGGGUCCAUCAGGAGGAAGAAACCUCAGACAGAUCUCCGGGGAGACAGCGCGGGAUCCCAGCCUCAGGCGUGCGCGGACAGUGUGCGGGAAGGGAGUGUAUCCUGGUGUAUGACAGCAUAUAGUAGAGACCAGUGUCAAUUAGGGCCUGUGAACUGAGACAGGGUGACUGGCUAAGUCCACAACCCAUUAGAAACCCAGAAAUAAUCAAAUCAUGAGGGAUCAUGGAAAGGAAGCUGAAUUUGCUGAGUUUUGCCACGUGGGCAUUGCAUGCCUAUGUGAUUAACCACCAAUAAAAACCUGGGACAUCAAAAAAUAAAUAAGCUGCUUUAAUUGCCAAGAAUUCACAUGUGGUUGUAUGCAGCAUUACUGGGAGAUUGAAGUGUAUCUGCAUGUGAUUCUACUGUGAUGGACACUUGUAAAUUUGUGCCUGGAGUCUCCUGGAAUUUGCCCUGAGAAUCUUUUUCCUUUGUUGAUAAGAAUCUGCAUCCUUUUGUUUUAAUAAACGAUAAACAUGAGUAUAA
rnacentral:lncRNA from 10 species